rnacentral:lncRNA from 1 species
CCCCACUCCCCUACCCCACCCCGAGUCUCCUCUGAGGCUUCCUUGCCCUUGAACCAGCAAGUGGAAGUGUGGCCCAUUUGAAUGGAUGACGGUGAUACGCUGCUGGAAGCGAGGGCGAUGGGUCUGCUCAGCGGUGGGCAAAGCGCUAGGGGUGUUGGAGGACAGGGUUCAAAUGCCCAGCUCAGUUGUGAAAUCUUGGCAAAACUUUGGGCAAGUCACUGGUCUGCUCUGCAGCUCAGCCUCCACAGGGGCAAACAGCAAGAGGCUGGAGAGGCGCUCUGUGGCCCCGCCCCAUCAGGUCAAGGAGCAUGCGCCAACAGCUCCGCAGGGUUGAGCAAGGCGAGGCUCACUCAAUGAAUGAGAGAAGGCAGCCUGGCUCUCAGGGGACUCACAGGCCGUCUGGAUAGGAGCGAAGAGUGUCCACAGUAUGGUGCGACAGAACACAGCACAGGAUCAGGAGCCAUAGUGAGCAGCCAGACACUCCGUGCUCGUGCAGGGGUAGGGGUGGUGGCGGCAGGCUGGAGUCCUCUGCGCCAGCUUCUUGCAAGAGGGUCCGCUUGUGGCCCCACGUAAGUGAGGCUCGUUGGGGAGCAGCCCGGGAGGCAUUCCGGAGGCUGGGGAAGCAGGACAAGCGCCAGCACAGUCUGAGGCAGGACCAGCAUGGCAGUCAGGAACGGCCGUGGGGGGAACUAGGCACACUGGGGGCCAGAGACAGGGGUGGGCACAGAUAAUGGGGUCUUAACGCAGGCUGAGGCCUCUGAGCCGAGAAGUCCAGUUAAGGCAGGAUAGCUAAGGGCUCACAUGAACUCGGCAGCCAGGACACAUGGUCAAGACAGGAAGUAGCUGCAGACCCCUCCUCCUUUUGUCCCCUCUUCCCUGGGCAGCCUCCUGGUGCCUAGUGACAGCUUGGGCUCCAGGCCUCGUGGUCGUUUUCCUCAGAAAGUCCAACUUCCCGUCUCCUCCCUCCUUUUAUCACCCUUCUCCCUUGGGAUCCCCAGGGCUCAGUUCCACCGCAGGACCAGGGCAGGGAGGUCCAGGGACAUGUGGGGUCUUGAGCAGACCAGAGUGUCUGUUCAUUUUAGGGAGGUGGGACAAUCACAUUACCUGAACAGGAUGCUCCGAAGACUGAACACAGCUAGGGAGAGCUAGGUGAUAACCAGCUGGGAAGACCUGCGAUGGGAAUUCAACACCCAGAGGGAUAUGUACAGUUGCACGCCACAUAAUGACCUUUUGGUCAAUGAUGGACCUCAUAUGGGCUGGUGGUCCCAUAAGAUGAGUAUAGCCUGGGUAUGUAGUAGGCUCUACCAUCUAGGUGUGUGUAAGAGUUCUUUUUGAUAUUCUCCCAACGAUGAGAUCACCUAAGGACGCAUUUCUCAGAACGUGGCCCCGUCAUUAAGUGACACAUGGCUGUAUGUGGUCAGAGUGCAGCACGGCAAGCAGACCUCAGAUAAACUAGUCUUUUAAAUGGCAUCAAACCAAGUUAAAAAAAUAUUUUUUUCUUUGUUAGUUAUCAAAGUUUUUAUACAGAUUUUAUAUAAAUAGUCUCUCUACAUUUUUACAUGAACCUUUUAUUUUAGGAUAGUUUUAGAUUUUAGAAAAGUUAUGAAGACAUUGCAGAGUUCCCAGAUACCCCACACCCAGUUUCCCCUAUUAGUAAUCUCUUACAUUAGUAUGGUGCAUUUGUCACAAUUAACAAACCAAUAAUGAUGUAUUAUUAUUGACUGAAGUCCAUACUUCAUUCAUAUUUCCUUAGCUUUCACCUAAUGUCCUUUUUCUGUUCCAGGAUCCCAUCCAGGACACCUCGUUACAUUUAGUCAUCACAUCUCUUUAGGCUCCUCUUGGCUGUGACAGUUUCUCAGUAGUUCCUUAUCUUUGAAGACUUUGACAGCUUUGGGGAGGGCCGGUCAGGGAUUAGUAAUGUCCCUCACUCAAGAGUUGUUUGGUGUUUCUUCUCAUGGGCUUAGGGUUUUGGGGGAGGAAGACCAGAGUGGUCAAGUGUCCUUCUCAUCGCAUCAUGUCAAGGGCACAUGCCAUCAACGUGACUUAUGACUGUUGAUGUUGACCUUGGUCACCAGACUGGUGGGUGGCUGUCAGGUUCUCCACUGUAAAGUGACUCUUUCCCCCCAUCCAUGCUGUCCUCUUUGGAGGAAAGUUACUGUGCACAGCCCACACUGAAGGGGCGGGAGUGACGCUGCCCCUCCGUGAGGGCAGAGAUCUACAUCAACUAUUUGGAAUUCCUCUGCAUGGGAGAUGUGCCUAUUUCCCCCACUAUUUUAUUUAUUCAAUCGUUUAUUAUAUCGGUAUGGAGUCAUGGAUAUUUAUUUUAUACUUUGGGUUUUAAUUCCAUACCACUUAAUUUUCUUGCUCAGGUUGUUCCAAUUUUGGCUGUUUUGUUCCUCCACACAUUUUUACACACACGUUGUUACAAUGAAAGGAUUUGUCAUCUUUUCGCCCACUCAUGUAUUCCUCCACCCGACACUGACUGAGCACCUUUGAGGAGUGAGAACUGAAGAUACAGAGAUGAGGCUGACUCCUCACUCUGCUUUCUCCCCCUAACUGAUCUGCUCCCUCCUGCCUUCCCCUCUGAUACUCCUUGCUCAGUGCUCUCUUUCUCCCAUCCCUCCUGGCCCCACUUUUCCCAGGGACCAUUCUUAUAGCUCCUGGAAUGGAAACUCUGUCCCCCGCUCAAACACUCCCAGGGCGAAAACACAUCAUUGACCCAUCAUGCCUGGGAGUGGGGUCCCUGUCUUGCCUGAGGCCCAGAGGGAGUCAGGUCUCUGGUCAGGCCUUCUUGGCCCUCUGACCAUUCACAGGCAGUGCACAGAGAGAAAGAAAGGAGGAACAGCCUCUUAUUUCCCCACAGUUUCUUCUUGGACAUUCUCCGAGCUUUCCCCAGCAACAAUGAAGGACUGUGAGAGAGGGAAAGGUGUGGAGUGAUGGAGAUGGGGAGAAGUUGGGCAAAGAGAACAACUGAGACAGGGCUGAGGUCUCCAGGCCCAGAGACAGACCCUGCAGCUGGUGGCCCCCCAUGCAGGCCUGGCUGCCCCUCCCUCCCCUCUGCCCACACAGCCCGCCGCUCAGGCCAAUGGCUUCCCCAGUCAAGGUGUUGCUCUUUCUCAGUUCUUCCAACUGAGAGAGGCUGGGAAACUGAGGCAGAAUCAGGCCCAGCUUCUGGUUUUCUCUCCCCAGAGGGCUCCCCUUUUCUCCACUCCUCCAUUGUCAAAAACAGGCUGGGGAUGACAUGGCUUGGGGAGCCCCACACCUGCUCCUGCCACCUGUCCUCCUGGUGCUCCUGGCCUCAGGUGAGAUGGAGGGGGUGAAGGAGAGGGUGGGGCAGGGAGCAGGGUGACUCUGUGACCAGAGGGCUGGCUUUGAAGACCGUGUUCUGGAUGUGGGCAUCAGAAGUUGCUCCCUGUCCCCUUUCCCUGGCCCUGGGAGAGGUGUGGCUGGGUCCGGCCAGGGCCCUGAACUGAGAGCUUGUUAUCCAGGUUCCUGGGGAAAGACAGUCAUGCCUGAAGAGUUUCAUGAAGUGGCGGGGCAGACACUCUCCGUGCAGUGGCAGUACCCUCUCGAGGGAGGGCCCUACAACAGGAGAACUCGGUGUCAGCAGACAUCUUCACAUGAGUGUACCUGAUCAGUCACCAGCUCCAAGCUCCCGACAGCAGCUCAGGACUCUUGACACAUGAUCUGGGAUGCAUUGGGUGCUGGCCUCUUCAUCAUCACCAUGAUUCAGCGGACGGAGGAGGACUUCGGGUCCUAAUGGUCUAGAAGCUACAACUCUUCCAGGAACUUGGUCACUAUUCUCAGAAACAUCAGCCUGGUCUUGUCUCCGGAAGAGCUCCUUUCUUAAGGAAAUGCCCCCUCCCUCCCAGGCCUGCGGGAAAUGUCACUCACCCACUUUGUGUGACUCCAUCACCCCAGAUCCUACCAGGUCUUCUGCUCUGAUCCAAGGGGAGCGGGGGCCCUGGUCUCCAGAGAUGGGCUCUCACCUCUUCUCCACUUUGCCAGUCCUGGCCCCAACUAGUAGGAAGGUAUGCCCGGGGCUCACCAGAGAGGAGUCCCGAGUCUCGCUCUGAUUCUGCCUGUCCCUUGCUUACACACACCCCCCAAUAGCUCUAGUGUGUAGACCUUAGGCACAGGUCACCUCUGGCCUAAGGGGCCCUGAGGGAUUGUCUCUAGGUCCCCCACUUCCCCUCACAGCUUUGAGGCCAGACCCCAUUCUCUCUUCUUGUCCUCUGGACGGUCAUUGUCUACUUUCUUUUCUCUUCAGCCCCAACCACUUUCCUGUGUGGACCCCCACCUCACUCCUACCAAGUACAGGUAGGUCUGGGGUCUCAGUGUGGGGAGGGAAGAAGGGUGGCCAUGCAGCUUGGGUUAACCUCUGAUUCAGGGAUGGGAGCACCGGGGGGCCCGGCUCUGAGGGCUGAGCUCCUGGGGCCUGGGCUGGUGGGAAGCUAUGUUCAGGGCUUACUGGGCUCAAGACCCAGGGAGAUAAAUGUGCACAAUCUGAUCAGAUCACAAAGAUAGCCAUGGAUGGGCUGGGUGUCCCAAGGGGCAUGCCUGUCCUGGAAGACCCUGGACCUGCAUGUCCCAGCUCUGCCCCUCGCUUCCCACCAACUUGGGGAGAAACUGCCCCCCUUAGGGCACAGUACCAGUCUGGACUUCAGCUGGCCUGAGGGACCCUAAGGAGCUGCUCUGUCCCCUCUCCACUUUCUCAAGGGUUUUUGGGGCCAAUCCUAUUCUCUGUUCUGGUCUCCCAGGCAGCCACUGUCUUCUUUGUGUCCUCCUUAGUUCUGAUCAUUUCUCCAGAGGGGACCUCUGGCCCAUCUUCCCUCAAUGGCUCUGAGCACAGGAACAGGAUGAGCACAGGUGGGAAACACACCUACAAGGCAUCCGUCCCAGCUGAGAGAAGAAGGGAACAAUCAAAGACCCUGGAGUCCAUCAUGCCUGAAGGAAACCCCCUGCUUCCUGCCCAUUUUCCCUAUCUACCUGCCUCAAGAAUCUGUAAUUUUUGAAGAUCGUGGUGAGCAGAGCCAGCCCAUUGCUCGAAUUCAAGUCCCCCCUUCUCUCCUGGUUCGGCUGCCCCCAGCUCCCUGGUCACCAUGCUGUGUGGACUCCUCAUGCCCAGGACCUGGUGCUGUCAACCCUGUUUGUGCUCCUGAGCUGCAGGUGCUGGGUCAUUAGGACACUGUGGGGACAGCAGUGAUGCGCCUUUCUGAUCGUGCCCACCCAGCCUGGCCCCGGGACUCUUGGGUGCCUUUAGCCUCAUCCGUGGAUCCGGGAUGAAUACCUGUUCUCCCCCUACCCAGCUAUUGGGAGCCGCCCCUAACCACUGAACACCACAGCCCUGUGAGGAAACACGAGCGCCCAAGCGUGCUGGAGACAACCCCCGGCUCCGAGUUCAGCUGUGGUGACCCUUCACCCUGGUACUGAGCACUCUGCUUCCCCAGCCCUCGCCUCCCCGCAAACUGGGCACCCAUGCGAGGUUUUUUUGCAUCGGUCAACCCUCCCCUUUAUCUGCCAGCUUUCCCUAACUCCGCCCCUGCUCCUUCUCUCCUGGGACUCCUGCUGUCUCUCACCUCCACCUCAGCGGGGCCCCACCUUUUCUCUGUUUCUUGCCUCUGUGCUGCCUGAGCACCCUGUGUGUGUGUGUGUGUUUCCUCUUGCCCUUAAAUUCAAGCCCUUGGAUUGAAACGUGCAAGGGGGAAGCUGAGCAAGAUGGCACGUGGGGGACCUGUCCAGUGGCGCAGCAGUUAAGCUCACGCGCUCUACUUUAGCCCCAUGGUUUCGCAUCCGGAUCCCAGGCAUGGACCUAGGCACCGCUAUGAAGCCAUGCUGUGGCAGGUGUCCCAUGUAUGAAAUAG